rnacentral:misc_RNA from 1 species
AGCCGUACCGGAAGGUGCGGCUGGAUCACCUCCUUUCUACGGAGAAUAUGGGCGUGCAUGGUUUUGUGCACGGUUUUGUGGCUGGGGUUUGCCGAGUGCGAUGGUUUGUCGUCGCCGCCCUGGCUUGCUGGCGUGGAAGAGUCGUAUUGGAUUGUGUGGUGUGGUGCGUGCUGUUGGGUUCCCUGGCCGCCACCGGCCCCUGGUGUGGGGUGUGGUUGCCAGUGUGUCCCCCAGGUCGGUUGCCCGGUGCCUGUUGGUGCGGGGUGGGUGUCCUGGUGGGGUGGUGGUUUGAGAACUGGAUAGUGGACGCGAGCAUCGGCCCGCCCGUUGGGGUGGGGUUGGUGUUCGUACUGUGAUUCGGAUCCGAGGAAUUGUUUUUUCUUGGGUUCGUUCGUAAUCGUAUGGGGGCGUGCCGUGUGUGGUGCGUCCCCGUGAUCUGAUGUCGUUCUAGGGUUUUUCAGUAGUGCUUUGGUCAUGGCGGCCGUGUUGUGGUUGUCGUGAUGGGCGUAU